GAAUGCUGACAUAAGUAACGAUAAAGCGGGUGAAAAGCCCGCUCGCCGGAAGACCAAGGGUUCCUGUCCAACGUUAAUCGGGGCAGGGUGAGUCGACCCCUAAGGCGAGGCCGAAAGGCGUAGUCGAUGGGAAACGGGUUAAUAUUCCCGUACUUGGUGUUACUGCGAAGGGGGGACGGAGAAGGCUAUGUUGGCCGGGCGACGGUUGUCCCGGUUUAAGCGUGUAGGCUGGUUUUCCAGGCAAAUCCGGAAAAUCAAGGCUGAGGCGUGACGACGAGGCACUACGGUGCUGAAGCAACAAAUGCCCUGCUUCCAGGAAAAGCCUCUAAGCAUCAGGUAACAUCAAAUCGUACCCCAAACCGACACAGGUGGUCAGGUAGAGAAUACCAAGGCGCUUGAGAGAACUCGGGUGAAGGAACUAGGCAAAAUGGUGCCGUAACUUCGGGAGAAGGCACGCUGACACGUAGGUGAAGUGAUUUACUCAUGGAGCUGAAGUCAGUCGAAGAUACCAGCUGGCUGCAACUGUUUAUUAAAAACACAGCACUGUGCAAACACGAAAGUGGACGUAUACGGUGUGACGCCUGCCCGGUGCCGGAAGGUUAAUUGAUGGGGUCAGCGCAAGCGAAGCUCCUGAUCGAAGCCCCGGUAAACGGCGGCCGUAACUAUAACGGUCCUAAGGUAGCGAAAUUCCUUGUCGGGUAAGUUCCGACCUGCACGAAUGGCGUAAUGAUGGCCAGGCUGUCUCCACCCGAGACUCAGUGAAAUUGAACUCGCUGUGAAGAUGCAGUGUACCCGCGGCAAGACGGAAAGACCCCGUGAACCUUUACUAUAGCUUGACACUGAACAUUGAGCCUUGAUGUGUAGGAUAGGUGGGAGGCUUUGAAGCGUGGACGCCAGUCUGCGUGGAGCCGGCCUUGAAAUACCACCCUUUAAUGUUUGAUGUUCUAACGUGGACCCGUAAUCCGGGUUGCGGACAGUGUCUGGUGGGUAGUUUGACUGGGGCGGUCUCCUCCUAAAGAGUAACGGAGGAGCACGAAGGUUGGCUAAUCCUGGUCGGACAUCAGGAGGUUAGUGCAAUGGCAUAAGCCAGCUUGACUGCGAGCGUGACGGCGCGAGCAGGUGCGAAAGCAGGUCAUAGUGAUCCGGUGGUUCUGAAUGGAAGGGCCAUCGCUCAACGGAUAAAAGGUACUCCGGGGAUAACAGGCUGAUACCGCCCAAGAGUUCAUAUCGACGGCGGUGUUUGGCACCUCGAUGUCGGCUCAUCACAUCCUGGGGCUGAAGUAGGUCCCAAGGGUAUGGCUGUUCGCCAUUUAAAGUGGUACGCGAGCUGGGUUUAGAACGUCGUGAGACAGUUCGGUCCCUAUCUGCCGUGGGCGCUGGAAGAUUGAGGGGGGCUGCUCCUAGUACGAGAGGACCGGAGUGGACGCAUCACUGGUGUUCGGGUUGUCAUGCCAAUGGCACUGCCCGGUAGCUAAAUGCGGAAGAGAUAAGUGCUGAAAGCAUCUAAGCACGAAACUUGCCCCGAGAUGAGUCUUCCCUGAGACUUUAAGUCUCCUGAAGGAACGUUAAAGACGAUGACGUUGAUAGGCCGGGUGUGUAAGCGCAGCGAUGCGUUGAGCUAACCGGUACUAAUGAACCGUGAGGCUUAACCUUACAACGCCGAAG
rnacentral:rRNA from 1 species